CAACGUUUCCCAGCCCAAAGUCUGGACAAUCCAACACUGGUGUGGUCCUCCUGCUUCACAGUCCCACGCUGCCCCAGUCCGAGACACCAUUUGUGGACAGCCCCGUUUUGGAGGGGUAGGGCUGGGGCCGGUGCUGGUGCCCCUGGAACAGUGCCGCUGCUCUCUGGGUGCCGUGGGGGCCAGCGAGGAGUCCAGGGUUGCAGGGAGCCAUGUUCAUGGGCUGCGGCCAUGUCUCCUGCUGCACCAAGUGGGUCGCUUUCUUGGUCCGCUCCCACUUGGGUGUGAUGGGCACCCAGUCCUCGUGCUGGCCACUGCGCUGACACAGCCAGCUUCGCCUAGCAUGGCUGUUGGUGGGCUGGAACACCCUGGCACGGCAGCAGCUUCCUCUUCCUGGCUGGGAUGCUGCCAGGGUGCUGCUUGCGCCUGCUACUCUUGCCUUUUGUGCCAACGCAGGCGGGCGUUGGGUGCUUGGCCGGCUCGGUGUCGUCCCCAUGCUGCGUGCUUGCCAUGCGGCAGGAGACGCAGCUGGGUGGAAGUGCCAGGCGGCUGAGAACCAGCAGGGCUGUUUCUGCCGUGCCUCUUCCAUGAGUUGUCCAGUGUGCACCAAAGGAGGCGAUGCUUGGCCGGCUCAGUGCCGUCCCCGUGCUGCUGGUCUGCCACGUGGCAGGAGACGCAGCAGGGUGGAAGUGCCAGGCGGCUGAGGACCACGCGGGGCUGCCUGCGCCGCGCAUCUUCCAUGAGAUGUGCCAUGCGGGGCGAAGGAGGCGUGGGGGCAGCCAGGGAGCUCAGCAGGGACAGGUGUGGAGGUGUGACGGGGGCCAGCAGCAAAGGGUCGCAGGGCAGCAGCUCAGAGAGCUGCCCCGGGGAUGCUGGCUGCCCCCAGAAUGGGUCGCUGAGGGUCCCAGUGGCAACCUGUGUCUCUUUGCUGAGCUCCCUGCUGCUUCUGGGGAAGUCAGGGAGCUCUGCGAUGAAAGGAGAUGAGUCCAGACUGCUGUGGACAUCCAGGCUCGGUGGCUCCGUGGCUGCGAUCCACCUCCUCAGCUCUUCAUGGUCAUGGCUGUCCAGUUCCCGCAGCAGCUGCUUCCCAAGAUUUUCCUCUUGCACCAUGGCAGCGUCUCUGCUCUCCUCCCUUGGGACAACAGGCAGGUCCUGGUUCUCCUGCGGGACCUCUAGAGUGCUCAGCUCUUCUGAAAAAGCAAGAACAUCCCAAGAAUGACGAUGGCAGCCUUCCCACAGCCUCUCUCUGCAGACACCUACCCACCAGCUUCACAGCCCCCACACUCACCCUCGCUGAUCAAUGUGAGCACAUGGCCCAUUUCCACGUUGUCGUCCAGAAUGUUAGUGCUCGCUGUCGCUCCUGGGAAAAGAAGAAAAUGCCCAGCAGGACAAUGCCAGCUGUUGCUCACCCACUCAGUGCAGACACCCGCUUGCCAGUUCUUCGCCGCCCACACUCACCCUCGUUGAUCCAGCUGAGCAGAUCAUCGACAUCUGCGAAGCCAUCCGCGGUAUCUGCGCCAGUCGUUGCAUCUGGAAAAAAGAAGAAAAUGCCCAGCAGGGCAAUGCCAGCUUUCCUGCAGCCCCGUGCAGUAGACAGCCUGCCUCCUGCCCUGCAGCCCCUGAACUCACCGCCUGAUUGCAGUGUGGCUGCGCUGCAGUUUUUGCUCCUGGACGAACAGAAGUGAUGAGGAAUGGUUGUGGAUACAAGGAACUUGAAGGAAUCCACCUUGUUCAGACCAGCUCAGCCCUCAGAAGAUGCUGUCUGCCCCAGUUUCUGCAGAGCUUCACACUAUGGGCCAGGGCACAAGCACGCAUAUGUGCACCUGACAACUGCAGGGAGCUUGCUUUGCAAAAGCAAAAGAAUUCAGAGGUAACCACCUACAGUUCAGUAAGCAAUUUCAGUAUUUAUUUCUGAUUGUGGCAAUUAUUUCAGCUCAGAAGU